UAAUGGGCUGAGACAAAGCGGGCUACAAGGCCCAACAGGGCUACAGGAAAAGUAAAAGAAAAAAUGGAUAUGCUUGCCGGAAGCGAGGCUCGGAUCCGGGUUUAGCUAUCGGAGACAACGGCUCCCGUCAAGUAACUCCGGCGUUAACAAAGGGGACUACUUUGCUUUCCUUCGGCGAUUCCAGUUCUCGACCGGAGCUAACGAAUCCGGACCGAAUCCCAAGAUUCACCGACAGAUCAAACCCGCAACACCCUUUCCGGACAAGACCAAGCCGAAAACAACCGGACUCACCACCUCCUUCUUGUCCCGAACCUAGCAACAAAAAGGAUUUCGUCUCUAACCCCUCGCCUCCUGCACCAGCGAUCCGAGACACUAAAACCUAACCUGCACCUGCUUCAAUU
rnacentral:lncRNA from 1 species